ensembl:lncRNA
UCUACAUUUAUUUAUUUCUGUAUUUCCACAUUUCUACAUUUAUUUUCCCUGCGCCUGUAUGCUAAUUGAGUGGGGGGUGCCAACAUCAGUCUGAAGAAGGAUUGGUUAGAGCGAUGUGAUCGAAUCUACUACUACUGCCUUGAUUUCGCUGGUACUCGGUAAUGCUGCUUGAGUUAAUAGAGGCUGUUUUCAGUUUCAUGUAGCCUGGAUGGAGACUUUUGUUCAAGCAAUUGCUAACGAUUUAAGAUCAUUAGCGCAGGAUUGUGAGAACAAUGCGUCCAAUGACUAUCUCCAGUUUCGUUUGUGCAGAGUAAUGGAGGAUUUAGUUCAGAUCAGUGCUGAUAUGGAUGUCGAAGUUGAGGUAGCAGUGCUAGAGAGUCUUCAAGAAAUCCUCCGCCAACUUCACAUUCUCUCUGAGACAGAGGAAGCGACAACUGGACGGCCAUCGUACCCUUUACCACCUGAUAUAAUUGAAGCUCACCUCCUUUUGGGGCACACUGCUGGAGAAAUUGCGCAGUUGUUCGGAGUGUGCGAGAGAACAGUUCGUCGAAGGAUGACACAAUAUGGCAUAAGGUAAUUUUACGUUUUUACACCUUUUAUAACAAGGGACACUUGCUCCGGCUGUUAUUGAGGGUGAGAGGCUGAUCUCUGAUAGACUUCUGACAUAGGAAAAACAGAGAUACACAUUAGACCUUCUGAAAAAGGAGAAAUCAAAUCACCUGGAGUAACGUUAGUUAACACCAGCUGGCCCAGCAGCCUUGCCUGGAUGAUGGCAGGCGCAGGGAAAAUAAAUGUAGAAAUGUGGAAAUACAGAAAUAAAUAAAUGUAGACGUAAAUAAAUGUAUAAAUAAAUAAAUGUAUAAAUAAAUAAAUGUAUAAAUAUAUAAAUACAUAAAUA